rnacentral:rRNA from 1 species
AGGAAAGAAACUAACAAGGAUUCCCCUAGUAACUGCGAGUGAAGCGGGAAAAGCUCAAAUUUAGAAUCUGGCAGCCUACGGUUGUCCGAGUUGUAGCCUAGAGAAGCGUUUUCUGCGUUGGACCAUGUACAAGUCCCUUGGAACAGGGCGUCAUAGAGGGUGAGAAUCCCGUACUUGACAUGGACUCCCAGGGCUAUGUGAUGCGCUCUCGAAGAGUCGGGUUGUUUGGGAAUGCAGCUCUAAAUGGGUGGUAAAUUCCAUCUAAAGCUAAAUAUUGGCGAGAGACCGAUAGCGAACAAGUACCGUGAGGGAAAGAUGAAAAGCACUUUGGAAAGAGAGUUAAACAGUACGUGAAAUUGUUGAAAGGGAAACGCUUGAAGUCAGUCGCGUCGGCCGGGACUCAGCCUUGAACGGUGCACUUCCCGGUGGACGGGCCAGCAUCAGUUUUGAUCGUUGGAAAAGGGUUUGAGGAAUGUGGCACCUUCGGGUGUGUUAUAGCCUCUUGCCGCACGCGACGGUUGGGACUGAGGAUCGCAGCUUCGGCUUAGGAUGCUGGCGUAAUGGCUUUAAACGACCC